AGCGUCUAUACAUAAAAUUGAUGCAGUGGAUAUACUAACUUUCAACAGCUAAAUAAUCCUAAAAAGUAUAUCUUUACUUACAAAACAAACAAAAGUAUCAUAUAUCCAAGGUCCUUAAGUUCUAUUCUAAUAGUAACCCAAAAAAUAAAUCUUCUUCCACCAGCUUGUGCACUACAUGAACCGGAUGUCAGGAAUGCUACUCAUCCUAAAAAGAAAAUAAAUAUAAUUAGAUUUUGAUAAAAAGAAGCAAUAAAGUACAAAUGUAAAAAACGAAAUAGUGGAAGCUUAUUUUACUGCAACAACUUACAACAACAAUAACAAUAUACCCAGUAUAAUCUCAAUUUACCCAGAUCUUACCCCUAUCUUGUGAAGAUAAAGAGGCUGUUUGGGAAGCCAUGUAAAAGCAACACAAAAAAUAUCAAGAUACUAAGAUGACCAAAAUGACUCCGUAACAGGAAGAAUCAACCUGAAAAGAGCUUAGUGGAAACACAACAUUAACUUAAAAAUCACUCUCAGAAACAUGGUUGGGAAUAUUAGAUUAAUAAUGCACGACCAAGAGAAAGAAACAAUCACCCACAAUCUAGAUUAUGUGCAAAGGUAAAGUGCAUCAUGACUGAAAGCACUCUUGAUUUAAUGCUUAUUUCAAACUAUUUGGUAUUUGGUAUGGUUAUCUUUUUUCCUUUUUUUCAUUUUCCACAGCUAGGCAGGAAGUUAUAUAAUUCUGUUCACAAACAACUUUUGUAUAUUUCAAGUCAUCCUCCCAUAGGUAUUCAGACCAAAAGUCUUCUUGAAACCAAAUACUUAAGAAAAAUUAAUAAUAUAUUUUAAUGAGGAAUAGCUGCAACAACUUAAGAAAAAUAGGCAUGUAAGCAGUGUAAGCUUGAUUAAAAUACUCCCCAAAAUAAAAUUGCAUCAGAACAUACUAAAUAUUCCCAAAGAUACAAUACUAUAGUCGGAAAAAAAUUUAGACAAAGAUUGAUUUAUUCAAAUAGAUUCAUUUGCAUAUACAGCUACAGGGCCUACUGCUACUGUUCUAUCCGGUGGAAUAAUCACCUUCAACUUUCCAUUGUCACUAUCUUUCCGUUUCUUUUGAACUGAAAGCCCUGUUGUCUUCCCCCUUCCCUUUCUCUUUUUUCCUUCGGCAACAUAGGAAGAUAUUUAGGUAUAUAGCAAAUUAAAUCUAUACAAUCAAGAGAUUUUAAAGGGCUAGAAUUUUAACAAAUGAAAUAACUUACCUGGCUUUAAAUUUGAAACUACAUCGGUAGCAGAUUAAGUAUUACUAGAAACAUGCACAUUUAUUGUCAUGAUAGGCUGUAACAUGUUAAAAAUUAUAUUAUUGGACAUUAGCCAAAUGAAAAAGUGAAGGCAGCAAAAUAAUAAGAAAAAAAUAAGAUAUGUUCAGAAAAAUGAGAAACAAAUAAAUUUACAAAGAAAAAAUCACAAAAAAUAAAAUAUAAAAGGAGUAGUAGAAAGUUGAAAUUAACCAUUUCGGCAGGGUGAUGGAUAGAAGUCGUGUGAAGAAAGCGAUUGAAAUAAGCAAAGUAGUCUUGAGGACUAGAUGAAGAUCACAACCAAUCAUCAUCCUCGUUUUCAUUAUCUUCUUCCUCGGAAAGAUAUUCUUCAUCAGUUGCAGAAUUAUUAAAUUCAUCCUCAUUUUCAUGAUCAGAUUCAUCCCCAACUUCUAAAUCUACUUCUUCCUCAUUAUUUAGAGAAGGUGCUUCAACACUCACUCCAUCAAUAUCUUCUCUUUGUAUUAUUAUGACAUCAUUGUUCGAUUCUGCUUGAAGGCUUGCUUCUUCCCUUUCAACCAAGUCAAUUAAUUGAUAUGGCUCCGCUUCUUCUUCUUGUUCGGGAAUAUCAUACAAAUUUCGUGGUCUUACCCUUACCACAACAUUUCUCACUUUGACCAUGUUUAACAUAAUACACAGAUUGAGCCUGCGAGCCUAAAAUGAAUGGAUCAUUUAUGUAAUGGAGUCGUGUCACAUCUACACGUAUGAAUCCAUAUUCAUCCCUUUCGUAACCUCUGCUUUGACUUCGACCUUGUGGAGGAACUUCAAACCAGUCACACUUGAUAAUAUGACUGAAUUACCCAUAUAGUGGAUAUCUAAAAUCUCUCUUAUCUUUCCAUAAUAAUCAAUAUUUUUUGUAUGUUCAUCACUCUUUACAACUACACCACUAUUUUGGGUUUUCAAAUAUAGCUCAGAUUCUAUUGUUUGAAACCUAAAACCAUUUAAGAUAUAUCCUUUAUGGCAAUAAACACAAUUAUCCGGAAGUCUUGCCAAAGCUAACAAUUCAUCGGUAACUCGACCAUCACCAUUCUCUUUUAACUGGACCACCUAUAAUAUUUGUGUGCAAAGUCAAAAACUUUAAUACUCCUUAUGAAAGUAAAAUUCAAAAAUUAUCCUAAAUAAAAAUAAACUAGCAUUAAAUGAUAUAGUUUACCUUUUCUUCAAACCACAAAGGAAAUUCCUCCUUGUGCCUCUUGGCUAUAUUUCUAUUUUUCUUCUUUGCCAAUAUAUCUAGAUGUUCUCUAUGGAUUGGAAAGAUUUAGAGAAAAAUAAAGAAUAUUACAUCAUACUCGAUAAAGGUAUUCAUAAGAAGAAAAGGAUGUAACUAAAUGAAAAGUUAUCUUACUCAAUCCAAGGUCUGACCUCCUCACAAUUUUGGAGGAUAUAAAAAUGAGCUUGGUUGAUUUCAAGAUUACUUAAGCUUUUCCAUUCACCCCCUGCUAAUGACUUACCAUGACAGUUAAAUAUGGACAAGCCAUUGGGAUUUAUGUUGGGAGAAUCAAAAUUUCUAUCCGGACGACUUUGCUUUGUCUCCAUAUCAAUCAAAUAUUUAGAACAAAAUACCAUACACUCCUCCGCAAGAUAGCCCUCGACAAUUGAUCCUUCAGGGCGAGCUUGGUUGCGUACAUAACCUUUUAACGUGCGCAAAUAUCUAUUAAGUAAAGAUAAAUUAGUUUUGUAACGAAUUUCUUCUAAAAGAACAAUUGAAAUAAGUAAAAAUCUAACCUUUCAAUGUAAUACAUCCAUCGAUAUUGAACAUGACCACCCAUUUUUGCCUCAUUUUCCAAAUGAAUUACCAAAUGAAUCAUAACAUCAAAGAACGUUGGCAGGAACACACGUUCUAAUUUACAAAUUGUCGUCCGUAUGCUUUUAUCUAGUUUCUCUAACCUUUCCACAUGCAACUCUUUAGUGCACAAUCGCUGAAAAAUAAUGACAAUUCAAUUAAGGGAUCAUAUGCAUCCUUUGGCAAAAUUCCUUUGAUGAUAAGUGGAACAAUACGCUGAAAAAGGAUAUGAUGGUCAUGACUUUUAAGUCCAAAUAUUCUACCUUCAUUAAUAUUGACACAACGACCAAUGUUAGAAGCAUAAGCAUCAGGAAACUUGACUUCUUUGAUGAGUUGACAAAAUUGAAUCUUCUCAGCUUUAGACAUUGUAUAGCUUGCCGGAGGAAGUAUGUACUUAUCCCCACUUUUUAUUGGAUGAAGGGGCUUUUUAAUUUUCAUCUCUUGUAUAUCCAAUCGAGAUUUCAAUGUGUCCUUUGUUUUCCCUUCUAUAUCCAAUAGAGUUCCUAUUACACUUUCACUAAUGUUCUUUUCAAUAUGCAUCACAUCCAAAUUAUGUCUCAACAAUAAAGUCCUCCAAUAUGGGAGUUCAAAGAAUAUACUUUUCUUCUUCCAAUUGUCACAUCUUUUGGUAUCUCUUUUUCUUUUUCUUGUGCUACCACCAACUAACCCUUAUGAAGAUGUAUUAAGUUGUGCAAGAACAUCAUCUCCACUCAAAGCUUGUGGUGCAAGUCUUUCUUCCUUUGUAUUAUCAAAAGAACUUUUAUUCCGGCGAUAAGGAUGAUUUAUCUCCAAGAACCUACGAUGACCCAUAUAGCAAUGUUUUCGACCAUGUUUCAAGUAAAUGGAACAAGUAUGUACAUGACAAACUGGACAAGCUAAUUUACCUUUAGUGCUCCAACCGGAUAACAUACCAUAAGCUGGAAAGUCAUUAAUCGUCCACAACAAAGUAGCACGCAAGUGAAAAUUUUGUUUCUUAAAAGCAUCAUAAGUCUCAACUCCACUCUCCCAUAAGGUUUUUAAAUCAUCAAUCAAGGGUUGGAGGUAUACGUCAAUAUCCAUACCAGGACUUUUUGGUCCAGGAAUAAGUAAGGAUAAUAAAAUAUUAGAUUGUUUCAUGCAUAUCCAUGGGGGGAGAUUGUAUGGAAUUAAAACUACUAGCCACAUGCUAUAGGCAUUACUCAUCGAACCAAAAGGAUUAAAACCAUCUGAAGCAAGCCCAAGUCUUACAUUACGUGGACCUGAAGCAAAACUUGAAUGUUUUUCAUCAAAAGUUUUCCACGCCAAUGAGUUAGCUGGAUGCCUUAAUACUCCAUCAUCAACUCUCUUAUUUUUAUGUCACCUCAUAUCUUCCGUGGUUUAUUUUGUCAUAAAUAAUCGUUUUAAUCUUGGUAUCAAAGGAAAGUAUCUAAGAAUCUUUCUAGGAAUUCUUUUAUUUCUCUUAUUCAAAUUUCUUAAAGCAACUUCAUCAUCAAUAUCUUCUCCUUUUUUUACUAUCCAUCUUUUUUCACUACAUUUAGGGCAUUGCUCAAGAUCAGCAUAUUCCUUUCUAUAUAAAACGCAAUUAUUAACACAUGCAUCUAUCUUCACAUAAUCUAGACCCAAAUCUUUUAUGAUCUUUUGAACUUCAUAAAUAGAAUUAGGGAGCAUAUUUCCUUUGGGAAGAGCAUCACUCAGUAAUUUCAACAAAGAGUCAAAAGAAGUAUUACUCCAGCCAUGUAGAUACUUCAUCUGAAAAAGACGCAUUACAAAUGAGAGUUUGGAGAACUUUUCACAAUCUGGAUAUAACUUUUGCUCUGCAUCCUUUAAUAACCUAUAGAAAGUUUUAGCUUCUGUAUUUGGCUCUUCGUACCUAGACUCAAUGGUCUCAUCAAACUCAUGAUUAUUAGAGGGAACACCACGAUACAUGUCAUGCAACAUUUCAAAAGUGCGAGCAUCGUCAUUCCCUAAAUUUGAAUUUGUAUCAGAAUUUGUUUCUUCUUCUGAAGAUGAAUCCGGCUCACCAUGAUAAAUCCACCUAUCAUAGGUCGGAUCUAUUCCCCACCUAACUAAAUCUGUCUUAACCUCAUCGCGUGAUUUUCUAAGCACAUUAUUACAUUUAAUGCAUGGACACUGGAUUCUUACACCAACCUCAGGAUUAGAAAAUGCAAAGUUUAAAAAAUAUUCCACACCAUUCAAAUAUUCCGGUAAUGUCCUAUUCUUAAUAAGUAGCCAAUUCUUAUCCAUCAUAUACUUACCUACAAUGAAAUAUAAAAUAAAAAAUGUAAAACUAUAUAAUUUAAAUUGUAAAACUAUAUAAUUAACUUUCUUUCAUAAGUUCACUACUACAUAAUACAGGAAGUUCACAUCCUAAUGAUUUACUUUGGAUGUAGUUAAAUAUUCAAGAUAAUUGGAACUUAAAAGGAGUGAUGAAGUAUGAUGAUAGACAGAUAAUACCAAGAAUUCAAAUAUGUGAUAUGCAACAUAGAGUUUCCAGUACUAAUUAGUUUUAAGGACCAAUAAGUAGGUUCAUUCUGUUAACUCCAAAACCAAUAGAAAACAUGUGAAGUCCAAGUAUCACAUAGUCACACUUCCAUAAGCUCUAGUAUUACACGUUUUGACUUAUUAUCUAAAAUAGAAAUUAGAGAAAGUCUCUAUAUUAGAAAAUAGUUAAAAUAAAAGCAUAUAAUUUAAACUAAUAGCCACUGAAGCAAAGGAAGAUGAGUAGCAUCUUGAAAAAGUAAUAACAAAAAAAAAGAUAGCAAGUGAAAAAAAAAGAAUCUGAAGUUACUAAAAAUUAAACAAUAGAUCUGCUACUACUAAAAGAAAAGAAACUCUAGAUUUUAGCUUUGAUAACUAAAACUAAGGAGAAUAAAUAGUUUCUAUUUUAAGCAAAGCAUGUUUGAUUAACUAAAAAUUUAAAUUGAUUCCAUUAGGCAUGGUAAGUUGAGCUGUUUGAUGACAUGUUUAUGUGGGACUUCUUAAACAGACUUGAUAUCUCUUUGUUUGUUUUUCUGCAUCCUUACAAGGGCACUUUAGUUCAAGAUUAUGGGAAAAAGCUGAUAUUUCCCCAAAGUUAAAAGUUGAAGAGACAUAUCAGCUGUGAGUUUUCCAUAUCUAGUGCAAACUUUUUCUUUGAAACUCUCCAGCUUCCAUGACAAGCCUUUAUAACUCUUGUCUACAUCACAAACAUAUACAAUUCUUUCUUUGAACAGGACAACCAUAUCAAAUUCUUAUUCACUUGUUAUUUUUCAAGAGUAGACAUAUACGUUUUUUGUAAAAAAAUGUGUAUUGUUUUAUAUCCUUGGCAAACCAAUUACACUGUUCUAUGGCCAAUUUUUGCAUUCACUUUGGGGCGCCUCUGAAGCUUUUGGAUGUUUGACUCUUUUUGUGGUAUUAAUGGCUGCACUUGGUUUCACAAUAAAUUGGGGACUCCCAUUUUUCCGGAUGAAACAAAGAACAGAUAAAGGCACCAAUCUUUAUCAAAUUCGGAGAAAAAGUAGAAAAUAGCCCAUAUUGUAAAUCAUCAAUCCCAAAUCUCACUCUCACACCAUUAAUUCCCCCAAAAAAGAACGUCAAAUAGCAUGACCAUGAAAAAAAUUAAGAAAAUUAUAUAGAAAACACUCACUAUAACAACCAAGAAAAGAUCAAUGACAUCUCAUAUUACAAAACAAUUCAAGGAAAUCCUAGUAAACAAUCAUUGACUAGUGAUUAAGGUAUCACAAAUUAAGAAGAAUGAUACGAUUAAACUAAAUCAAAAGCAGAAAGCAAUAGAUAUUGAGAAGAAACGAAAUCAAAAGCGAGAACUCACCAGAUUUUGGGUUGAACACAGCGGAAGAGAUCAAAAAAUCGAACACUCAGAUGCAAGAACUUAGUUUAGAUAAUGAAAAGAGAAAACCUAGAUGCAGUGGAAACUAAAAUUGAGCGCUAAAAAGUUGGAAAAAAGUAAUAAAAUAGGGAAAUCUGUUUUGGCGCGUUUGUUUUGGCGGAAAACUAAAAGUGAUUUACUAAAUUUUUG
rnacentral:lncRNA from 1 species